rnacentral:lncRNA from 1 species
UUUUAUUUAUGUUUUUUUAAUUUAUUUUGUUGAUGUUUUCUGCCAAUUGUCACUUUUCAUUUAACUUCAUAUAAGGCAUUUCUUUUUUUGCCUCCUGUAAGUUUUUUCUUUAAGAUUUUAUUUAUCUAUUCAUGAGAGACCCACAGAGAGAGGCAGAGACAUAGGCCAAGGGAGGAGUAGGCUCCAUGCAGGGAGCCCGAAGUGGACUCGAUCCUGGGACCGCGGGAUCACACCCUGAGCCAAAGGCAGAUGCUCAACCGCUGAGCCACUUAGAAGUCCCUGCCUCCUAACAGUGAUUCAUUCCAUGGCUCAACAUUCAAUAUGACCAAAAUGCACACAGUGUAAGUCUCCCUCCACACCUAAUGUCUAUCAUUGCGGUAUAUCUUGCAGAUGUAGUCUAUGACUACUCCUAAGUAUAUGUAUACAUAUUCUUUAUUUGGGGGGUGGGGUGUCCCCUCCAUUUUUUUUUUUUUAACACAUUGACAGCAGAGUAUUUUUUCUAAGUGUAUUUCCAACCAGGCCUUUUGGUGACUCCCUUUUGUCCCAAAGGGGAAAGACCAAGCUCGUUAGGCUGACCACUGCCCAACACCCUUGCUUACCUCCAGGCCUGUGCAUACUGCUGUCUGCCGUCAAAUCACACGUCCCCUGCUCCUAGGCUCAGCUUCCCUGGUUUGCUCGCUGUGCUGGCAGUAUCUCUCCUGCUCAUGGAAGCAUACAAUGCAGCCACUGGUCAGUCACUGUCUGCUCCCCUGUGAGUCUCCCCCCCGCCAGGCCAUGCGGUACUCAGAAACAAGAGGUCGUACCUUACUCAUAUGGAAUCCCUAGGGCUGGGCACCGUGCCUGGUACCGAGAGGGUGCUUCGCGAUCUUUGCCCAGUAGACUUGUAGGGGGCCCCGAGGCGCUUUGCUACAGCGGCACCUCGUGGUAGACCUUGGAAAUGCAGCGAGGAAAAGACCUUGGAGGGAGGGGUGGGGGUUCCACAGGUUCCAGAGAUCCCUUGGGGUCUGAGUAGGAGGCGCUCCCCUGUCCGUCUGCUACAGACCCCACCUUGUCCAUCGGCGUCCAACUUGAGCAGAGCCUAGUGGUAAGUGACCCACCUUUCCAUCUCCAGAACUGCUGUCCCCUGAAAUCUACCCACCCCAUAAUCAGUAGUAGCUUGGGGCAUUUAGCAGUAAGUGUGUAUGUGGGGUGUGUGUGCAUGCAAGUCUACAUGCACACGUGUGUGAUGUACUUGCUUCGGGGCAUGGCUAGCAUGUCCCUGUACAGAUACUUAACACCAUCCCUCUUCUAUAAGACAAAAUUAUUGGCAAUCAUUUCAAUAAUCAUGAAAUGAAUAGCAGUAAAUAAAUGGCAGACAGCCAAAAUGUUCUUUUAUUGAAUUUUAUCUAUAAGCUCACACCAUUUCAAAAAGAAAUGAA